UCAAAAGUAGACAUCUUAAAUAAGCUAAGCACACCCAGAAAUUAAAAGUACUACAUCUUUUGAAGAUUAUUAGAAGCAGACAUACUGAUUCUGUACUGCUGGAGAAUUUGAGAUCUUUGUCAAAUAUGAGUUUUCCACUUCAAUGCUUCUUUUGAGCGUUAAGUACCUAAUCUAAACUCAAAAGCAACAUAUAUAAUAGAUUCUUCACAUUGUUCGACACCAGAAUUUUGAAUAUAGAGAUCUUCUUGGAGAAAAAUCAAACGGAAAGAAAGAUAUAGAAAAGCCUAAUUGUUCGACACCAAAAUUCUGAAAAGCCCGUUUACUCUAAGACAAAAAAGUAAAAAUACGUUUGAAUGGUUUAACCAGUAAAGAUUUUUUGGUGUAAAAUAUUUGUUUCAAAAAAAGAAGCAUGGUGUAAAAUAAUUAUGGGGAGAUUUUAAUUAAUUACUUUUGGAAAAGGAAACCCCACAUUUUUAGUAACGUGAUAUAAUUUAAAUUUCAAAUUGUCAAAGUUUGAAUGGAAGUUUGACGGUACAAAGAAUGAAAGUUCAAGGAGUAUGAUAUAAAUUAAAAAGACUAGGGAUCCAUGAGCCAACGAGUAAGGCUUCUCAGAUUUUUAGGGAAAAAAUUUCCUAAACAUUAAAAGUUAACAAAUUUCUUUGAAAUAAAAAAUAACAAAUUAAGCUCCCAAUAACCUAUUCCAUCCGAAAAAAUAAUUUGGAAGCAUUUUCAAGCAGCUUCCUUUGCUCCUUUCACCCAAUAAGAAGAUAAAGAGGGGAAAGCACUAAAAGCUCCCUACUCCCAAGUCAUCUUCAUGUCAAAACAAAAAUUGGUACUUACAAGAUCUAGUUCGACAGAAGUAACUAGGAAAUUUAAGAGUAUGUAGAUUUAAUAAGCCACCAUUAGUUCUUAUUUGUAGACCAAAAUCUCCACGAUGCCCAGAUAUGGACCCGGCUCAAGAAUAGAAAGUUCUCUAUGAAGUACUAUUUUUUGGCUUUUUGAAUAGAAAUCACGUCUCAAUUCAUGUUGGAAGGCCACGUGUGUAUAUACAAAUUCUUCUAACACAUUUCCUUUUGUCUAUUUGAGAAGUUGUUUGGAUCUCAGAUGGACAAUCUCAAUAGAAGGGGUUUCACAUCACUUAUCUGUAUGUGAGACAAUGAAUCUCCUAACCAUCUUCUUUAAUGUUGUCAUGAAGGGAGAAGAGUACGGGAAUUGACUAAUAGUCUUUUGGGUAUCAUUUGGAUGAUGAGUAGUUCUAUUUGAGAUGAGUUUUUUGCUUGGAAUGGUAUUCGUAGUCAAAAGUCAAACUUUGCAUUUGUUCCUCAUGCCAUUAUCUAAACUAUUUGCAUGAGAGGAAUUGGAGAGUUUUUGAAGGGCUUUCUACUAAUUUGUUAGCCUUAUCGCUGAUUGGUUCCAGACCUUAAGUAUUUUGUUCAACGCCCAUAGCCUCCUUGGUGAUCUAAUAGAUGCCUUGCACUGUUCUUUGCUGCAUCUUUGUAUUUCUUAAGCUUUGGUCUAUACAUACAUGGGAGGCAAUCCCCUAGAGAGCCCCCUUUAAUGCGUUCUUCUUAUUCUUUCCUCUCAAAAAAAAGACAGAUCUACUUCCAAUGAAAGAUUAAGGCCUACAAAGCCAGAGAAAUUAGGUGAAUUUCUAGAUCUUAAAUGAUUUGUGACGAUUACCUUUUUCCACAUCAGUCAAUAACCAAGGAUUCUUAUGACUCUAAGCAUUGAUGAAAUAGUAGAUUACAACUGUCAUGUACUAACAUCAUGAAGUUUCUCAAAGCAAAAUGCAGUCUCUUUCUAUUACAACAUGACAAGAUUACACCUCGACGUUAUACAAUCCCAUUUUAAUUUGGCAAGCAUCACUUGGUGCCACCCUGACCUUGGACAAAUGUAAAUUUUUUGUUCUGGUCAUUUAUUAACUUUUCUUGGCAAUGGCAUUUACCCAUCUUUCAGUGCAUUUAUUUUUUUUUACAUAUAUAGCAGCUUCCGCUGCAUAUCCCAAAAACAAUCUUUUAACACUUAUUCAGGAUCUUACUAGUAUAUGACUGGAGAAUUAGUUUCUCAUGGUUAAAUUUCUUUUUACUUGUUCCCAGAACUCCAAAAACUUAACUAGACAUUAGCUUCUGAGAACCUCAUGAAUUCCUAGGAAACAGAAAAAAUAAACCAAGAAUAGGUGUUCAACAGCUGCCCAGUCAUUAUUGUGUUCCUUGAACUGGAACCUAGGCCCUUAACAAGAUCUCGAGGUAUAUAUCAUAUGCACAAUUUAUGAAGUGAACUAAGAACCUUCUUUGUAAAAACAGGAAAGUUCUUAUACUUGCAGACACUUCCUUUUCCUAAUAUUUCCAGAAUUCAUUUUGAAAAACCCAAACUUCCAUAAGAUCCAGGCAAAAACAAAAAUGAACACAUAGAAAGGAAAUGUACAACCCAAGGUGAUCAAAUGGAACCCACAAGUUGUAAAACCUAAGUACUUCUUUCCAAGUUGAUCAAAUUCCCAACUAUCUGCAGUUAUUUUCUUGCAAGGUGCUGUCAAGUUUACCCAGAACCCAAUUUUAAUUUCUCUUAUGUAAACAGAAAUCCCAAUAUGGUGGGUUUCAGUUUCUUUACCAUUGGUUUUUAAUCCAAAAUAUUCUUCCAGCGGUGCCUUAAGUUCAAACUUCAUAAAUCAAUAUAGCUUUCUAUUGCAUGAAAACCCUAGAACACAUAGACAAGACAAUAAACUAUCAACAAGCAAUCCCGAAUGCCUAAUCUCAAUAUACCCCACAUAAAGAAAAAACCACAUAAUUAUACAGUAAAUUAUGCAACAUAAACAUGAAUUUGCAUUCAAAACAAAACAGAGAACAAUCAAUAAUAACCUGAUCUCAGAAGAAAUAGAUGGCUUGGCAUUGAAAAAGAACCGCCUUCGGUAUAACUGUUUCUCAAAAACGAACACAAAGAAAGGAACUUUGAAGGUCUGUCAAAACCAAACAGUUGAGCAAUAUAGCAAUGACAAUAUACCAAAUCAAAUGCCCAAACCAGGCAUCCCUCUCUCUAUCUCCCUCUGAAUCUCUCAAUGGGUNNN
rnacentral:lncRNA from 1 species